CGACGACAGGUGGUUCUGUGGUAUAAAAAAAAAAGCACCCACUCGCGACGCCGCUCCCCUCCUCCCGGCGCGCCCGGCGCCACACCCUCCUCCCGACGGGGUUCCUCACAACCGGUGCCGCCCCCUCCUUCAUCCGCUGCAGUGGUGCGGAGGGCGGCUUCGGCGAGCUCCCGCGGCAUCCGCGGCGGCUUCUGGCAAUCUCAUCGCGCGGCGGCCUCUUGGCACCUCCCGAGCUUGGACGGCCUCCUCCUCUGCAGUGGCUGCUACUUCCACGCCCAUCCCUGCGAGGCUGUGACGAUCGGUGCCGGCCCCUCCCUUCUUCCUUCCCCUGCGACGAGGGGAGCCACUACUGACUGCCUGCGCCACCCCUUCUUCCUUGCUGUAAUAGCUGGGCCUUACAUUGACAGAUUGACCAAGAUUUGUUCAAUUAGCUGUCCGUAACUCCGUAUCCUCUUCAAAUCAAAGAUCCCAUGCUCCAAAUUGCUCAAUUUCUCUGGUUCCCCCUCCAUCCUCGGAUCCCCAUAGCCACAGAUCCGUUCUCUACUAUCAAGCUUUGCUGAAUCAAAUUAGUUUGCUUCUUUUUCCUAUGUAUGGUGACUAGUUAUUUCAGUAUUCGUUGAGCGCCGAGCACCAGCCAGCCACGGCAGCAAUCACCAUCACGGCAAGGUUCUUGAACUUGGAAUGAGUUCCCUUUUCGCUGAAGAUAUGAGUGUUGUACUUGCUAUGCGGCUUUUUAAGAGUGCGGGACUCAGAAUACAUGCUUCUUCCGUCCAGUAUAUGGUACAUGUAUGCUAAUUUUUCCUGUAGCCGUGCAAUUAAUUACUUUAGGAUUAUCUCAUAUGAAUGUAAACAUGCCCUUCAUUUCCAGGACUAACUUUAGAAAUGUUGGAGAUUAUUCCUUUUUGACAAGGUUAUACACAAUUUCCAGCUCUUUCAUAACAUUGGAGAUUAUACCUGAAACUUUGCACUGUCAUUUUUCUGGCAAAAACUGAUAUAGAGGUGAGCUUAAUUGCCUAGUAAAGCCAUCUUGUGUUUAUAACUCUAUAUCCAUGAGUGCCACUGAUUUCCCAUAGCUACACAACAUGGCAUUGUAUUAUCAGUUUAUCUUUAGCUAGCUAUACUCCAUACCUGCUAUCAUUGUUGUUUCUUGAAUGUUGGAAAUACUAACUGGUGCAGCAGAGAUAAUUUUUUCCAUUUGAAUUAGGAAGGAACUUCUUUCUCCUUGGAAUGUGAUACCCUUGGUGUUUGCUAAGACAAUAAUGAGGUUUUUAUGGUCGACUAGUUAUUUGUCAUAUACUCAUGUAGCAGAAUUAAUGAGUAGAUCAGUAGACUAGUGUGGUUGCAGAUAACUGGUUAUGGUUUAUUCACUUCAUUUUGGAAGAGAGAGUGUUUUUCGCUUGUGCAUAUGUCAUUGUUUUUGACUAGCAACUUAAAUCUGCUGCGUCACAUAUAGCUGAAGUUUUCUAGUCACGCAUCAGAAUAUUUUUGAUUAGCUAGUUUGGCUUCAAAUAGUUGAGUGUUUUUUUAGGUUGUAUUCAGCCAGGCAUGCUAGAAUUUGCAAUCCAUCUUUUGUGCGUGCAAUUAACAAAUCCUUACCAAGGUUCUUGAACUUGGAAUGAAUUUCCUUUCCACUGAAGAUAUGCUAUGCAGCUUUGUAAGAGUGUGGCACUCAGAAUGACUGCAAACAUGCCUUCAACUAGCAUGCAUGUCCAGGGAAACUUAUGUUAGCUAGUAACUCAGCCAUUUUGUUGAUACUGGUUAGCUAAUCGUGUAUAGGAUAAAUAAACUAAUAUUCCUUUGUUCUUUGGCACUAGGGCUAAGGAUCUUUAUAGUGGUAUUUUUCAGAUCCCAUACCCCCUUUGAAUUACUAGUGGCGCUAAUAAAAAUGCUUCUUUGUCAAUCAGGGAUACUGUUUAUGGAUUAUAUCAUAUGUCUGAAGCGCACUUUCAAUUCAAGAUGGUGGCCAAAAAAUUCUUCAGAGCGAUGGACAAUUUCCAUCACUGUUUACUAUAGUACCAUACUUGUGUCUGUACCAUUUUGUUACCAAUUCUGUCAUCAUAACCUGGUCACUCACGUUAAAACGUUAGAAUUCUGAUCAGUUUCAAAGUCUACAGUUUGAGUUUUUUUUGUUCUACUUUCUAAGCAGAACCUGUUUUGUUCUACUUUCUAAGCAGAACCUGAUUAGUGGAGGUCCAGUUUAUGUACUGAUGAAUGAUGCAUAGUUUGGAAGACCAGGUUACUUUGGUUACCAAUAAUAACCAAGGCUUUUAUGAAAUAGUGUGCCAACCAAAAAUUAAUUGAAUUUA